GCCAUGGGGAAGCGAUCUCCCCAUGAGGCGACAGCCGAAGAAUCGCGCCCGCACAAACUUAAGGGGCGCAUUAUG
rnacentral:ncRNA from 1 species